rnacentral:rRNA from 1 species
CAGUAGCCGCGGGAAUACGGAGGGUGCAAGCGUUAAUCGGAAUUACUGGGCGUAAAGCGUGCGUAGGCGGUUCGUUAAGUCUGUUGUGAAAGCCCCGGGCUCAACCUGGGAAUGGCAAUGGAUACUGGCGAGCUAGAGUGUGUCAGAGGAUGGUGGAAUUCCCGGUGUAGCGGUGAAAUUCGUAGAUAUUGGGAAGAACACCGGUGGCGAAGGCGGCGACCUGGUCCAUAACUGACGCUGAGGCGCGAAAGCGUGGGGAGCAAACAGGAUUAGAUACCCCGGUAGUCCCUGUCUCUUAUAC